ACCAGAACGGCCCGUUCUGAAACCAGAACGGCCCGUUCUGGUUACACCAUUGGUGUGUUAAUUUUGCCUCUGGAACGGCAAAAUUAACACAUAAAUGUACAAUCAGAACGGGCCGUUCUGGUUUCAGAACGGGCAGUUCUGGU
rnacentral:miRNA from 1 species